ACUCACUUUUGAGUAAACACAAACAUAUUUGACUCACUUUGUAAACGUCAAAGAAUUGUGAAAAUUUCGCGCGCUCGAACUGACAAAUCCUCCGUUGUGGGGAAAUUUCUUCCGUCGACGUGAUGUCGGCAAAGCAACGACAGUUAGUUUGCUUAAAACUUCGCUUCGGAAGUCCAACCGGCUUAUUCCAGAUUAGUGCUGCGAAGUCAAUAAUCCUGAAGUGAAUCAAUAAUCAAUAAUCAAGUGAAGCGAGGUCGGAGUGAAAAUGACCAAGUCCUGGUUUUGAUCGAACAACCGCAAGAAAAAAUUCUAACUGGGAAGGCUACUGGCUCGGUCAAACUACAUCCUCCAUGACUUUCAUCAAUCCCCCAGAGAUUUAUAACAUCCGGGGAUCCAUUCCAGAGCAGCGAAAAUUUCAACACAAAUAUCUUUUUUUUACUUGUUAUCAUGUAUUAUUCAUUUAGUUAUGUAAAAGAUAAUGAAUAAAUGUUAUGCUCUUUGUA